rnacentral:snRNA from 19 species
AAACUUACCUGAAUAUUGGGUUUGGAUUCUUCAAUAACGAUUCCACCUCGAGACGAUGCUUCAGCAUUGUACUUUAGGUUGAAGUUGACUCUCGAGGCAAUCUCUAACAUGGUUAGUCUAUACUUCAAUUUUCGCAUUUGGAAGUCUGCGUUCGCGCAACUUCUUA